rnacentral:lncRNA from 1 species
UCUGCUCUUUGUUCCCUGUUGACUCCUCCUGUUUUCUUGUGAGUGCUUCUUUCAUUUGCUGAGUCAUCUUGUUCCCUGCAGUCUCCUCCUGCUUCCUUGUUGAGACCUGCUGGUUCCCCCUGGUCUCUCCUGGUUCCUCCUGAUCCCUUCUGGUCCCUCUUGGUUCCUCCUGGUUCCUCUGGGUCUCUCAUGGUCCGUCUGGUCGCUCCUUGUCCCUCCUGGUUCCUGCUGAUGUUUUUCCUUCCAGGAUGCGCUGUGAGGCUGGGGUUCCUGUCGCCCCCUGCCGGUCACUCAUCACUGCGUGAUCCGGUGAAGGAGAAUCCACAGCUCCCCGUCAUCAUUUCCUCUGCUUCAUUUCAGGCUUUUUUCAGGAUUCAACUGGCUCCAUGCUGUGAUUUCAUCAAGUUUCAUUGGUGUGGAUGUAAAGAAACUGUGUUGAAAAGAGGCUCGACAUUCAAAUGUGUAAAAACAAGUCAGUUGGUGUUGUUGUGAAUGCUAUUCAGUGAGAAAGUUUCAAACUUGUGUCUGUUUAAAUGAUUCUGUGAAAUCCAAGUCCAGAAAUCUACUUUCCAGCAUUUGAAUGAAAUGCAUUUCAAGUGCAGAUGUUGUCAAGUUUUGUUGAGUGACUUGAAGAGACGUUGUAUUUGUCCUGUCCCGACUUGAUAUUGUUCAAAGGAAAUUGUUUGAGAGACAUGUUUCAAAUAAAACUUUUAUAAAUCAACAUUUUCCCUUUGAA